rnacentral:rRNA from 1 species
AGGUUAAGUGAAUAAGGGCGCACGGUGGAUGCCUUGGCACUAGGAGCCGAUGAAGGACGGGACUAACACCGAUAUGCUUUGGGGAGCUGUAAGUAAGCUAUGAUCCAGAGAUUUCCGAAUGGGGGAACCCAGCAUCUUUUAUAGGAUGUUACGUCUGCGUGAAUACAUAGCGCAGUCGAGGUAGACGCAGAGAACUGAAACAUCUAAGUACCUGCAGGAAGAGAAAGAAAAUUCGAUUCCCUGAGUAGCGGCGAGCGAAACGGGAAAAGCCCAAACCAACAAGCUUGCUUGUUGGGGUUGUAGGACUCCGAUAUGGUAGUCUAUUCAGAUAGUCGAAAUACUUGGAAAAGUAUGUCAAAGAGGGUAAAAACCCCGUAGGCGAAAUUUGGAUAACACCUAGGAGGAUCCUGAGUACGGCGGAACACGAGGAAUUCCGUCGGAAUCCGGGAGGACCAUCUCCCAAGGCUAAAUACUCCCUAGUGACCGAUAGUGAACCAGUACCGUGAGGGAAAGGUGAAAAGCACCCCGGAAGGGGAGUGAAAUAGAUCCUGAAACCGUGUGCCUACAACAAGUUAGAGCCCGUUAAUGGGUGAUAGCGUGCCUUUUGUAGAAUGAACCGGCGAGUUACGAUAGCAUGCGAGGUUAAGUUGAAGAGACGGAGCCGCAGCGAAAGCGAGUCUGAAUAGGGCGAAUGAGUAUGUUGUCGUAGACCCGAAACCAUGUGAUCUACCCAUGUCCAGGUUGAAGGUGCGGUAAAACGCACUGGAGGACCGAACCCACGUACGUUGAAAAGUGCGGGGAUGAGGUGUGGGUAGCGGAGAAAUUCCAAACGAACUUGGAGAUAGCUGGUUCUCUCCGAAAUAGCUUUAGGGCUAGCCUCGGAAUUGAGAAUGAUGGAGGUAGAGCACUGUUUGGACUAGGGGCCCAUCUCGGGUUACCGAAUUCAGAUAAACUCCGAAUGCCAUUCAUUCAUAUCCGGGAGUCAGACUGUGAGUGAUAAGAUCCAUAGUCGAAAGGGAAACAGCCCAGACCACCAGCUAAGGUCCCCAAAUAACUAUUAAGUGGAAAAGGAUGUGGGGUUGCACAGACAACUAGGAUGUUGGCUUAGAAGCAGCCACCAUUUAAAGAGUGCGUAAUAGCUCACUAGUCGAGUGACCCUGCGCCGAAAAUGUACCGGGGCUAAAUAGUUUACCGAAGCUGUGGAGUGCACCAUCAGGUGCAUUGGUAGGAGAGCGUUCUAAGGGCGUUGAAGGCAGAUCGUGAGGACUGCUGGAGCGCUUAGAAGUGAGAAUGCCGGUAUGAGUAGCGAAAGACAGGUGAGAAUCCUGUCCACCGAAUGACUAAGGUUUCCUGGGGAAGGCUCGUCCGCCCAGGGUUAGUCGGGACCUAAGCCGAGGCCGACAGGCGUAGGCGAUGGACAACAGGUUGAUAUUCCUGUACCCGUUGUUUUUGUUUGAGCAAUGGAGGGACGCAGGAGGCUAAGAAGUGCAGACUGAUGGAUAUGUCUGUUCAAGCAGUAAGUCUUGGUAGGAGUCAAAUGCUUCUACCUAUACGGACAAGCUGUGAUGAGGAGGGAAAUAAUAGUACCGAAGCUUCUGAUGUCACACUGCCAAGAAAAGCUUCUAGUGAGAAAACAACGGCCCGUACCGCAAACCGACACAGGUAGUCGAGGAGAGAAUCCUAAGGUGAGCGAGAGAACUCUCGUUAAGGAACUCGGCAAAAUGACCCCGUAACUUCGGGAGAAGGGGUGCUGCUCUAACGAGCAGCCGCAGUGAAUAGGCCCAAGCGACUGUUUAUCAAAAACACAGGUCUCUGCAAAAUCGAAAGAUGACGUAUAGGGGCUGACGCCUGCCCGGUGCUGGAAGGUUAAGAGGAGU